GCGGUUGAAUAAKCAAGAUGUGAAARCCCAGGGCUCAACCUUGGAACUGCAUUUURAACUGUUCGACUAGAGUACUGUAGAGGGUGGUGGAAUUUCCAGUGUAGCGGUGAAAUGCGUAGAKAUUGGAAGGAACAUCAGUGGCGAAGGCGGCCACCUGGACAGAUACUGACGCUGAGGAACGAAAGCGUGGGGAGCGAACAGGAUUAGAUACCCUGGUAGUCCACGCCGUAAACGAUGUCAACUAGCCGUUUGUGUCCUU
rnacentral:rRNA from 1 species